AUUGAACGCUGGCGGCAGGCCUAACACAUGCAAGUCGAGCGGAUGAAGGGAGCUUGCUCCUGGAUUCAGCGGCGGACGGGUGAGUAAUGCCUAGGAAUCUGCCUGGUAGUGGGGGAUAACGUCCGGAAACGGGCGCUAAUACCGCAUACGUCCUGAGGGAGAAAGUGGGGGAUCUUCGGACCUCACGCUAUCAGAUGAGCCUAGGUCGGAUUAGCUAGUUGGUGGGGUAAAGGCCUACCAAGGCGACGAUCCGUAACUGGUCUGAGAGGAUGAUCAGUCACACUGGAACUGAGACACGGUCCAGACUCCUACGGGAGGCAGCAGUGGGGAAUAUUGGACAAUGGGCGAAAGCCUGAUCCAGCCAUGCCACGUGUGUGAAGAGGGUCUUCGGAUUGUAAAGCACGUUAAGUUGGGAGGAAGGGCAGUAAGUUAAUACCUUGCUGUUUUGACGUUACCAACAGAAUAAGCACCGGCUAACUUCGUG
rnacentral:rRNA from 1 species